rnacentral:rRNA from 1 species
AUUGAACGCUGGCGGCAUGCUUUACACAUGCAAGUCGAACGGUAACGGGGAGCUUGCUCCGCUGACGAGUGGCGAACGGGUGAGUAAUGCGUCGGAACGUGCCGAGUAGUGGGGGAUAACGCGGCGAAAGGUGUGCUAAUACCGCAUACGUACUGAGGUAGAAAGUGGGGGACCUUCGGGCCUCACGCUAUUCGAGCUGCCGACGUCUGAUUAGCUAGUUGGUGAGGUAAAGGCUCACCAAGGCGACGAUGAGUAGAGGGACUGAGAGGAGUUGCCGGCACACUGGGACGGAACAACGGCCCAGAGUCCGACGGGGGGCAGCAGUGGGGAAUUUUGGACCAUGGGCGCAAGCCUGAUCCAGCCAGGCCGCGUGCAGGAAGAAGGCCGUCGGGUUGUAAACUGCUUUUGUACGGAACGAAACGGUCCUGGUUAAUACCUGGGGCUAAUGACGGUACCGUAAGAAUAAGCACCGGCUAACUACGUGCCAGCAGCCGCCGUAACAC